rnacentral:rRNA from 1 species
CUAGCCGUAAACGAUGGAUACUAGGUGUGGGUGUCGCAGGGCAUCCGUGCCGCAGUUAACGCGUUAAGUAUCCCGCCUGGGGACUACGGUCGCAAGACUGAAACUCAAAGGAAUUGACGGGGGCCCGCAUAAGCGGUGGAGCACGUGGUUUAAUUCGAUGCAAACCGAAGAACCUUACCUGGGUUUGACAUGCAGGUGUUAGUGAAGAGAGAUCGGAACGACUCUGCAGUAAUGCAGAGAGGCUGCACAGGUGC